rnacentral:rRNA from 2 species
UACGUAGGGGGCAAGCGUUGUCCGGAUUUAUUGGGCGUAAAGAGCGUGUAGGCGGUUUUACAAGUCCGCUGUGAAAACUCGAGGCUCAACCUCGAGCUGUCGGUGGAAACUGUAAGGCUAGAGUCCGGAAGAGGAGAGUGGAAUUCCUGGUGUAGCGGUGAAAUGCGCAGAUAUCAGGAAGAACACCCGUGGCGAAGGCGGCUCUCUGGGACGGUACUGACGCUGAGACGCGAAAGCGUGGGGAGCGAACAGG